CUCAGACCGUACAGGCACAGCCCAGCUCAGAAGGACGAAGUGGAACGUCAGGUCGCUGAGAUGCUCGCUCAAGGGAUUAUCCAACCCAGCUCCAGCCCCUUCGUGUCGCCAGUUCUGCUAGUCCAAAAGAAGGAUCUCACCUGGCGUUUUUGUGUGGACUAUCGGCAUCUCAAUGCAGUUACGAUCAAGAAUCGCUACCCGUUGCCAGUGAUAGAAGAGCUUCUCGAUGAGCUGGCCGGAUCGCAGCUCUUUACCAGUUUGGAUCUGCGGGCAGGAUAUCAUCAGAUUCGUAUGCGGCCAGAGGAUGAGCAUAAAAUACCGUUCAAAACCCACCAUGGGCACUUCGAGUUCAAGGUCAUGCCGUACGGCGUCACGGGGGGGCCGGCAACCUUCCAGGGAGGCAUG
rnacentral:rRNA from 1 species